rnacentral:rRNA from 1 species
AUUGAACGCUGGCGGCAUGCCUUACACAUGCAAGUCGAACGGCAGCGGACCUUCGGGUGCCGGCGAGUGGCGAACGGGUGAGUAAUGUAUCGGAACGUACCAUAGAGUGGGGGAUAACGUAGCGAAAGUUACGCUAAUACCGCAUAUUCUGUGAGCAGGAAAGCAGGGGAUCGCAAGACCUUGCGCUGAUUGAGCGGCCGAUAUCAGAUUAGCUAGUUGGUGAGGUAAAGGCUCACCAAGGCGACGAUCUGUAGCGGGUCUGAGAGGAUGAUCCGCCACACUGGAACUGAGACACGGUCCAGACUCCUACGGGUGGCUG